rnacentral:rRNA from 1 species
CACGCCGUAAACGAUGAGUGCUAAGUGUUAGAGGGUUUCCGCCCUUUAGUGCUGCAGCAAACGCAUUAAGCACUCCGCCUGGGGAGUACGGUCGCAAGACUGAAACUCAAAGGAAUUGACGGGGGCCCGCACAAGCGGUGGAGCAUGUGGUUUAAUUCGAAGCAACGCGAAGAACCUUACCAGGUCUUGACAUCCUCUGACAACCCUAGAGAUAGGGCUUCCCCUUCGGGGGCAGAGUGACAGGUGGUGCAUGGUUGUCGUCAGCUCGUGUCGUGAGAUGUUGGGUUAAGUCCCGCAACGAGCGCAACCCUUGAUCUUAGUUGCCAGCAUUCAGUUGGGCACUCUAAGGUGACUGCCGGUGACAAACCGGAGGAAGGUGGGGAUGACGUCAAAUCAUCAUGCCCCUUAUGACCUGGGCUACACACGUGCUACAAUGGGCAGAACAAAGGGCAGCGAAGCCGCGAGGCUAAGCCAAUCCCACAAAUCUGUUCUCAGUUCGGAUCGCAGUCUGCAACUCGACUGCGUGAAGCUGGAAUCGCUAGUAAUCGCGAUCAGCAUGCCCGCCCGAUUGC